GGAUUGCAGGCUGCAACCCGCCUGUAUGAAGUUGGAAUCGCUAGUAAUCGCGGAUCAGCAUGCCGCGGUGAAUACGUUCCCGGGCCUUGUACACACCGCCCGUCACACCAUGAGAGUCGGGAACACCCGAAGUCCGUAGCCUAACCGCAAGGAGGGCGCGGCCGAAGGUGGGUUCGAUAAUUGGGGUGAAGUCGUAACAAGGUAAC
rnacentral:rRNA from 1 species